UGGGGAAUCUUGCGCAAUGGCCGAAAGGCUGACGCAGCGACGCCGCGUGUGGGAGGACGCCUUUCGGGGUGUAAACCACUGUUGCCCGGGACGAACAGCGCUUUUCGAGGCGUCUGACGGUACCGGGUGAGGAAGCACCGGCUAACUCCGUGCCAGCAGCCGCGGUAAUACGGAGGGUGCGAGCGUUGUCCGGAAUCAUUGGGCGUAAAGGGCGCGUAGGUGGCACGAUCAGCGUGCGGUGAAAGCUCGGGGCUCAACCCCGAGUCGGCCGUGCGAACUGAGUCGCUUGAGCACUGUAGAGGCAGGCGGAAUUCCGGGUGUAGCGGUGGAAUGCGUAGAGAUCCGGAAGAACACCGGUGGCGAAGGCGGCCUGCUGGGCAGUAGCUGACACUGAGGCGCGACAGCGUGGGGAGCAAACA
rnacentral:rRNA from 1 species